UUUCACGUUCUGAUUGAAGCCCGGCGUGGCGGCACACGCCUCUUAGCUCAGCCUAGGCUACACAAGACCCUGUCACAGAUCAUAGGAAUGGAAGCGGGGUUCGAAGAGCGCUUGUCUAAUUUGGCCUCUCCGGAGAGCCUCUGUCCGUGAGAACACAGAGCUGGGCUCCCGCUGGCCUCCAGCGUCUCCCACGGGAGCGGUCUCCUGCAGGCCGGCACAGGCCCCCCGCCGCGGAGUCCACCAGAACGGCCGACACUCACCCGGCCCCGCAGGCCCCGCUCGCCCCGCGGCGCUCGCUUGGCACGCAGGCCCCGGAGGCCGGCCCUCACCUCACGCAGCAGCGCAGCUCCGGCGAGGCACGCCCGGAUGAUGAGAAAGCAUGCACAUGGUGGUUCACAAACGCUUCUACUGUAACUCGAACAACAAGGUAUAUGAAGCCUCCGCAGGCUUACACCUCCCCAUCUCCCUCAACAAAAUACAAAAAUAAAUAAAUCCUAAAAAGAA